CGGUAAUACGAGGGGUGCAAGCGUUAUUCGGAAUCAUUGGGCGUAAAGGGUGUGUAGACGGCACAUUAAGUCAACUGUUAAAUUCCCCGGCCUAACUGGGGACCUGCGGUAGAUACUGGUGUACUGGAGGAUGGAAGAGAGAAGUGGAAUUCUCGGAGUAGCGGUAAAAUGCGUAGAUCUCGAGAGGAACAUCAAUGGCGAAGGCAGCUUCUUGGUCCAUUCCUGACGUUGAGACACGAAAGCGUGGGGAGCAAACAGGAUUAGAUACCCUGGUAGUCCACGCUGUAAACGAUGAUCACUAGACGUUAGUCUCGUUUUACGAGAUUAGUGUCGUAGCUAACGCGUUAAGUGAUCCGCCUGGGGACUACGGUCGCAAGAUUAAAACUCAAAGGAAUUGACGGGGGCCCGCACAAGCGGUGGAACAUGUGGUUUAAUUCGACACUACGCGAGGAACCUUACCUAGACUUGACAUGCCUUUGACCGUCAUAGAAAUAUGACUUUCCGGACUUCGGUUUGGACAAUUGCACAGGUGCUGCAUGGCUGUCGUCAGCUCGUGUCGUGAGGUGUUGGGUUAAGUCCUUUAACGAGCGCAACCCUUGCUGUCAGUUGCUAUCUGUUUACAGAGCACUCUGGCGGGACUGCCUGGGAAACCAGGAGGAAGGUGGGGACGACGUCAAGUCAUCAUGGUCCUUAUGUCUAGGGCUACACACGUGUUACAAUGGCCAGUACAAUGGGCUGCGAGCUCGCGAGAGUUAGCCAAUCCCAAAAAGCUGGUCUAAGUUCGGAUUGGAGUCUGCAACUCGACUCCAUGAAGUUGAAAUCGCUAGUAAUCGCGUAUCAGCAACGACGCGGUGAAUACGUUCUCGGG
rnacentral:rRNA from 1 species